GCCACCAAGAACAGCAGCAGUGGAGCAGAGCCAGCCUGAGCCUGGAAGACAAGCUGUGUGUGCUGCAGAGGGCAGAGCCCGAGAAGUGACCGAGUCCUUUGGAGGAGCCCAUGAGAUGAUGAGAACCACGGGUUCUCUGCAGUUCAGCCCAGGACCACAAGCUGACCAGAGGGAAGGACAAGGCUCAGAGGGACAGAGCUGCCAGCCAGCUGGUGAGGGAACACAAGCCCAGCUCUGGGAUCCAGGAGAGGUCACUGUCCCUCAGCCUCUCGGAAGGGCGUGAACUGGGAGCUGAGGGCUGAGUGAGACGUGGCCACACCCCAUGAACUCAGAACUAGCAGGGAAGUUUCCAGGUUGUUGGCAACCUUCAGCACUCAGAGGAGCCAGGGGAUAGCCACUGCUGGAGAAACCCCAAGUUCAGGUACUUCUCUUUGUGACCUCAGACUGUUUUACCCAGAGCAGCAGCUGGAGUCCGUGUGCUACUGGGGCAGGGCCGGUCUCCUGGGCAUGGCUCUCCCUGGGGCUGCGCUCAGGAUGAAGCAUCCUGCUAUCAGCACAUGCCUGCCGCCUUCCUUCCCAGCAGAUCUCAACCGUCACUGACUGUCACUCCUUAGCUCUCGUCCCAGAUUUUAUUGACAGUUUCGUUGUCACCCCCAAAAUCUUUUUCUCUCAGUUGGCAUUUUCAUCAGGCGAGGCUGGGUGGGAGGAGGAGGCAGAGCUGGCUUUUGGGAACCAAUGGUUUCAGUGCUCCUGGCCUGGAGUCAGCAGAGGAAGAGGACCCCACAUGGCAUCCCCUUACCCAAGAGCAAAGGAGAACCAGGCAGGGGUGGGGUGUGCCCUGUGGACCUCCAGACUCCACAGAUUUCCCAGCCCUCAGCUCUCCCAGUUGAUAUGUAGGAGACAAGGUGAUGGCGUGCAGACAUGGGCCAUGGCAUCAGACCCACCUAGGGUAUUUCUCAGUUUGGAGCUGGACACUUGAAGGCAUAUCUCUUUCCUGUGGUGCCUCAACAUAUCCAUCUACCAAGUGGGAGCAACCGGUACUUCCAUUGGCUGAGGCCAAAUCUAGGCCAAGCAUUGUCAUCCUGUUCAGGCCGCCAGAACCCGGGAAGGCUGGUACCAUCACCGGCAGUAUCUUAGUGGUGGGGACCAGUGUACUGGUCAGGUGACCAGCGAAGAGGCAACAACUGGAUUUGAACUCAGGCCAUGAAAUUCCUGGUCAUAAGCCUGUGCUGUAGGGUCCGUGGGAAGAGCAAAGGUAAGAAGGUGUCCGCACAUGGAGAAAAUCGUGCUGCUGUGCUGAGCAGCGUGGACCAGGCUCCGUGGUAGCCACUCCGUGGUAGCCACUCCGUGGUAGCC